rnacentral:rRNA from 1 species
ACUACGGGAGGCAGCAGUAGGGAAUAUUGCUCAAUGGGGGAAACCCUGAAGCAGCAACGCCGCGUGGAGGAUGAAGGUUUUAGGAUUGUAAACUCCUUUUGUUAGAGAAGAUAAUGACGGUAUCUAACGAAUAAGCACCGGCUAACUCCGUGCCAGCAGCCGCGGUAAUACGGAGGGUGCAAGCGUGACUCGGAAUCACUGGGCGUAAAGAGGGCGUAGGCGGGAUAGCAAGGCAGAUGUGAAAUCCUAUGGAUGAAACAUAGAACGGCAUUUGAAACUGUUAUUCUUGAGUAUGGGAGAGGUAGGGGGAAUUCGUGGUGUAGGGGUAAAAUCCGUAGAGAUCAAGAGGAAUACGCAUUGCGAAGGCGACCUGCUAGAACAUAACUGACGCUGAUGCGCGAAAGCGUGGGGAGCAAACAGGAUUAGAUACCCCGGUAGUC